ACAAUGGGCGCAAGCCUGAUCCAGCAAUGCCGCGUGAGUGAAGAAGGCCUUCGGGUUGUAAAGCUCUUUUGUCAGGGAAGAAACGGGGUUGGCUAAUAUCUGAUCCUAAUGACGGUACCUGAAGAAUAAGCACCGGCUAACUAC
rnacentral:rRNA from 1 species